GCGGCGGACGGGUGAGUAACACGUGGGUAACCUGCCUGUAAGACUGGGAUAACUCCGGGAAACCGGGGCUAAUACCGGAUAGUUCUUUUCCCCGCAUGGGGAAGAGUGGAAAGGUGGCUUCGGCUACCACUUACAGAUGGACCCGCGGCGCAUUAGCUAGUUGGUGAGGUAACGGCUCACCAAGGCGACGAUGCGUAGCCGACCUGAGAGGGUGAUCGGCCACACUGGGACUGAGACACGGCCCAGACUCCUACGGGAGGCAGCAGUAGGGAAUCUUCCGCAAUGGACGAAAGUCUGACGGAGCAACGCCGCGUGAGUGAUGAAGGUUUUCGGAUCGUAAAGCUCUGUUGUUAGGGAAGAACAAGUGCCGUUCGAAUAGGGCGGCACCUUGACGGUACCUA
rnacentral:rRNA from 1 species